GCCGUAUAUGGGAAUGAAGCCUUGAAAGAAAGACGAAGAUGUCAAGUGGAAGAUUAGUCGUCACAAAAUUUCCUUGUGACAUGCAAUACCCAAAAUUUGCUGAUUGGCCUUGUAGAAUUCGCUGAAUAUUUGACGAAUACUGUAAGAGCGCUUAUAUAAAACUGAGAAGAAAAUAGAGAAGGCUACACACAUAUGUGAUACGAAUACCGAAAAGGAAUUGAAAUAUAAAUUCCACAGAGUAAAUACAGUUUUCACUUCAUACGAAUGCAAAAGACAGCCAUGUACAAGCAGAUUAUCAGUUGUCCUAUGUCCUCCUGCAAAACAUAACUGCAAUGAGAAUAGAUGUGAAAAUACAUCUACGACAUAUUUUGGGAUCCUAGAAAAAGAAACAGUGGAUUACAAAAUGCUGAAAGCUUGUACUGUCAUUGAUUUUUACAAGAGUGUGCAUAUGUAAAAUCCAUUGAAGAAGCAAAAAUUGGUGAUGCCACAAAGAGAACGUAGAAUGAAAUAUUUUGUGAAUAUAUUGGCGAAGAAAUAUAACUGGGUAGACCGAUGAAGGAAAAGGAGAAUCACUUUACACAAUUUGUAGAUAACAAAAAUAAUUUUUAGAUCUGUACUUACAAAAACCAAAUGUGACUUGAACAAAUAUAGUGGAAGAAUGUUCUGCCUUUCAAAGACGAAGAAGCAGAAUCAAAAGAUGUAAAACUGUAAUGUAUUGCACUUUUAGUAAUCUAUGCAAGAUAGAGGUGGCAAGGUAUUAAUCAUAGACAUAUGAUUAAUGAUAUGAUAUAAUUAUAUUUAGACUGUGCGUUGAGGAGUGGGGACUGAUAAAUAUAGAAAAAGAUACUCUCUGUAAUAUGCUCCUUCGUUCUCUCUCGUUUGCGCAUUAGUUCGAGAGAGAGAACCUUUUGACACUUGCAAAGUUCUCUUAGCAUGCGAUCCAUUAGAUGCUGCAAACACUACGAAGCGCCCAAAGAAAAACCACGAUUGGUUAAUAUCCCAGUAAGCAAAAUGCUAGCAGAAUGCGCGCAGAUUGACGCCAAUUUCGAUCAAAUCUCCACAUCAAAACCAUAGCCAUCUAUGUCCUCAUUAGGCUCGUGUUUUGUCGAUAGGACCUGUACGACGGGCCAUGCGAGCAGAUUGUCAGCAGAAACCGCGUAGGUCCUGUUGCUAAACUACGCGUAGAGUCUGCGCGCAGAGUUUGCUCGGUUUCUGCCGCCAAUCUGCCAUCAAAUUACUACAAGUCUUGCGCGGUUUUUGGUACAAAUCUGCCGUCAAAUAUCCGACAGCAGGAUCUGGCGCAUAUUUGACCGCAGAUUGGCAGCAUAAUUUGAUAUAACAGAUUCUGCGUUAAAUUUGUUGCCUAUUUACCAUCAAACUAUGAUAGCAGGCUUUGUUCGAAAUCUGCUCGCGCAGGUUUGGCUAUCUGGGAUAGUACUUCGAAGCAUUUGCAAUGUCUAAUGAAUCGCGUUCUUAGACAGGCGCGAACGAGAAAGAAUGAAAGGGCACACUAUAGAGUGUAUCCUUUUUUUGUACAUAUUAUUUAUCAGCCCGCACUCCUCAAGUAAGGAUAAACGCGCAGUCUAGAUAUAUUAUGCAAGGUUGGGAAGUAACGCAUUACUUGUAACGCCGUUACUGGUAUCGUUACUUUUUUGAGUAACGAUUAGGUAACGCCGUUACUUUUUGGUGUCAGUAACGAAAAAGUAACGGCGAUACAUUUUUUUUGUAACGAGUAACAAAACGUCCGUUACUUUAAUCCGUUACUUUUUAAUUUUUAUAAAAUUAAACUUAAUUGUAUUUAAUUUCUAUGCAUUUUUUGUUUUAUGCUGAAUUUAAUGAGAACCAAUAAAUAUGGACUCACAUAUUGUCAUCCAUUGGCCUUAGCUAUACAGAAAGGUUUAAAAGAAAGGUUUUGUACUACAUUC